CAAUAAUAAGCUAAGAAAUUAUUCAUUGCCUUCUUUGUCUUUUCUAUAAUGUAGUAGUGUGAGUAAUGUACUUUGCAUCCAGUUAACUUCUAUUUCACUUACAUGUUUUGGGUUAAAAUGUUACCAGAACUUUUAUAGAGGACUGUCCUCUCAUUGAGCUGAGGGUUGAACUUAACUGGCCAUGACUAUUUUUUUUUUGUGACAAAUUUAUCACCUCACCUGUGAUCUGUUUAUUUAUUUAUUUUUAAUCAUUUUCCUGUGAUUUUGCUGUUGGCGUGGUAAUUCUUACUCUAAAAUCAAAACCAACAUUCAGGAUUCCUAAAACAUUGAAAUUCUGAAAGUCAAAAAAAUGGCUGUGAAUGCAUCACCUUCCUCUCAAAAAAACAUCUCUGUAAGUCUCUGAAAGCUUCGUCCACUUCAUAUUUUAAUUUGGGCCCAGUCUAACCUAAAGGAGUCUUCAGGUUUGAUAUGCCAAGUCAUCAGUACUCAGACUUUGACUUUUCACUAGUUUCCCUCGUCACUAAUCACUGCAUAACAAAGUCAUAAUUUUACUCCAAAUUCUUUUUCCUGGUCCUGCACGUGCCCACAGUAAGCCGGAGAUUAUGUGUCUGUGUAGUUUGUAAACACAAACACAAACACAAACACAAACUCUCUGGUACACACACAAAGCAGCGUAUAAUUGGCUUAAACCCUUAAACAUUCCAUGCCUAAACCGUGCUGGAAGUAGUUAGGAACUUUAGGAAAGACAUGGUGAGGACUGUACAGCGCUUUGUAUUUGAGGGAACAAACUUAGAAAAUUAACAAUUAAACUACCAGCAGUUAGAGUUCAACUUGUUUACAAGACAUUUAGAGAGGGAGGUGGAGAAGGAGAGGGGGAGGAAAAGAAGGGAGGAGGGAAAGGGGGAUGAGGGCAAUUUGUGCAAGGGGAAAACAGGCUGAAAGUCCAGUUAGGGGAAAGUUCACUCUUGUUUGGUGGAGAGCAGAGGUAGAAGAAAGACAGGAGCGGUGCUGCCGGGGUCAUUCUCUCAGGACAGGGGCGGCAUUGCCAGAGAGAGCUGCAUGUGCUGCUUGUGCCCGAGAGAGAAGAAGAGAGCGGCCCACCCUUGUAUGGGAAGGAGUAGAGGAUGAAGGAGAUGAGUAAGACAUAUGCCAUUGUGGAAGUGAUUGAAGGAGAACAGAUUCAACUGACAGAUGCAGCAGCAGCAGCAGCAGCAGCUCUAACUCCCAGCCUCAAGUCCCUGAUUAUCAGACGAGACACAGAGCGAUAGGGUGGGGGUGUUUUCAUUUUCUGCUUUUUUCUGUUUGUGUGUGUGUGUGUGUUUGCAUGUUAUGGCUAUUUCUGCAAGACAAGCACUCAGGUUAUGGCCCAUUUAAGCUCAUACUUGUCAUCAUGUUGGGGUUCACCAUGUAACUGGAGAAGGAAUAGUUGUAACGCUUGUGUUGUUUUUAGGGAAGAGAACCCAGAUAAAGCCUGCUGUAGCUCUACCUGAUACUGCUCUGUGUGGUUGAUUGGUUUAAUCACUCUUACACGUUCCCACACACACAUAUGCUUGUGUGAGAUUGAUUAAAUUACCUUAGCCUGGUCAGUUUGGGAGAAACUUGCUCGAUAAACUGAGAGAGAAACUCAAAGCACAGAUCAGUGUGUUAAUUGUGCUGCAAAAAUUCCAGCUUUAUUCCCGGCUGUCAGAACAGCGAGUGAAACUCACCUGCUAAUCCUGAUGGGGAUUAAAGCAGCAAACUCCAAGGAAUUCUUGGAAUCUCAAAGUUUAGUAAAAGCCGGGAACACCACCGAAUACCAGGCACAAGUGAACAGUUUGACUCUUAAGUGUUUGUGUGUGUGUGAGUGUGUGUGUGUGUGUGUGUGUGUGUGUGUGUGUGUGUGUGUGUGUGUGUGUGUGUGUGUGUACAUGUGUGGAAGAAUCCCAGACAUGCUUGAUUGUUAAAUUGAAUUAAAUGGACUCUUGCUGGAGUCCAGUAUGGAGGUGAGUUUCACAGUCAGACUGUUGUCCAUGUGGAAGCAUGGAGGACAGUGGCCAGUUUCUGCAAAAAUCUUCAGAUUGAGACAUUUUAUUCAUUUUUAUUUGGGGUUUGACACUUGCCAAGAUUCAUUUCAGAUUUACUUCUGAUUUUCUUACAAAUAAUAUUUGGAGGAGAUAAGGAGAUUGUCUGAACUGCUAUUGUUUAUUGAUUAAUGUCAACUAUUAAUGUUAAGACAUAAUUUCAACACUUAUGCAGCUUAAGGUGCAGCUACACCUGCAACAAAGUGUAUCAGUAUUGGAAGAAGAGUUUUAAACCAUUACAAAGUAAUUUCCUUCUUGCUCCCAGCCAUCUAUGCUUCAUGCAUUCUUUAGAUCUUUUGGGAGUAUACAGGUUAUAUGCAGAAAAUGAAGCUGCAUAGGUCUAUGUGUAUAUUGUUGUGUGUGUAUGUGUUUGAUCUCACAGCUCACACAGUAGCCAAAAGAUUAAGACAGCUUCUCCUUUGAGUUCGUUAUCUUUCAGGCCUCAUUAGCAGUGUCAUAUUUGCCCUUGCUUCCGGGAGUGUGGCACGGAUGCUUACAAGGCAUAAAAAUUCCAUCGUGCUCAUUAAGCAAUACAAUUAAAAGGAGAUCACAUCAUUUCAGAAGUCCGUGCAAAACUAAAUCACAGUUGUUUCGCAACGUCUAAAGUACAAGAAUUUGUGGAGACCACUAGACAAGUUUAAGUUCAGUAGCCGGAUGAGACAAAGGAGAAGAGCCAUAAAGAGAGAUAAGAUAGAUAGCGUGAUAGUCAAUCAUUGCUGUGGACCUGGCAAGCUGUUCUCAGGUGUGAUGUUUUGCAUUAUCUCCUACUAUCUGCUCUUUACAGCACACUAAACACUGAAACUGGCUGUAUAAAAGACACUUACCAAAGUGUAUGAAGUCGUAAAUGUUUGUGUAAAUGUGUUGUAUAUAAAUGACCUGCACCAGCCUGACCUGA